UUUUGGACAAUGGGCGCAAGCCUGAUCCAGCCAUUCCGCGUGAGUGAAGAAGGCCUUCGGGUUGUAAAGCUCUUUCGCAAGGGAAGAAAACUUACAUUCUAAUAAAGUGUGAGGCUGACGGUACCUUGAUAAGAAGCACCGGCUAACUACGUGCCAGCAGCCGCGGUAAUACGUAGGGUGCGAGCGUUAAUCGGAAUUACUGGGCGUAAAGCGUGCGCAGGCGGUUUUGUAAGUCAGAUGUGAAAUCCCCGAGCUCAACUUGGGAACUGCGUUUGAAACUACAAGACUAGAAUAUGUCAGAGGGGGGUAGAAUUCCACGUGUAGCAGUGAAAUGCGUAGAGAUGUGGAGGAAUACCAAUGGCGAAGGCAGCCCCCUGGGAUAAUAUGGCGCUCAGCACGAAA
rnacentral:rRNA from 1 species